GGAAGAAAUAAAAGAGGGGAUGUGAAGAUGAGGCGACUUUAGGACAGAAAAAAAAAGAGACAAGGAAGCCAUGUAAACGUUUUCGGGUGGGCGUGAGGCGUUGUCAGUCUUGAACCCCGUUGUGUCAGGUAAAGAGCGCAGCCUCUUCUAGCACAAACACCGUUUCCCACAUGGAGGAAAUCACAGGGAUCAGCAACUCUAGAGUGCGAUGAAGAAGCUUCACUCUGGGAGAACUGCCUUCGUGACCACGGUGUCUCCCCUGCCAGGUAAGUGGAAAUGAGCACAUGGCCUGCAGGGACAGCACAGCCUCCUGGCCCUGGCCGGUCGCUCAGGGUCACCACCCUCCCCACUGCGGCCCCUCGCCAGUCUUCCAAACCACUCUCCACCAAAGAUUCCACCGACAGUCACCCCGCAAGACAACUCAGGCCGCCUCUCAGCAGCGGCUCCCGCCCCGCAGCCACCGCGGCCUAUCCGACGGAUGCGGAAACCGAGACCGGCUGGAUGGGAAACUCCAGGAAGGCUCCGGGGCCCUCAACUGGUCUCCGACCUUCCCCUGCAACCUGUGACACCUGCCAUAUUCCCAUCUUAGGCGAUGGCAACGCCACCCUUCCGUUUGCUCCGGGCAAAACUUCGAGAGUUCCCUCAACAGACACUUCUCAGAAGACAUUUAUGCAGCCAAAAGACACAUG
rnacentral:lncRNA from 1 species